rnacentral:rRNA from 1 species
AUUGAACGCUGGCGGCAGGCCUAACACAUGCAAGUCGAACGAGUGGCGGACGGGUGAGUAAUGUUUGGGAAACUGCCCGAUGGAGGGGGAUAACUACUGGAAACGGUAGCUAAUACCGCAUACCAUCGGAUGUGCCAAGAUGGGAUUAGCUCGUAGGUGGGGUAACGGCUCCCCUAGGCGACGAUCCCUAGCUGGUCUGAGAGGAUGACCAGCCACACUGGAACUGAUACACGGUCCAGACUCCUCCGCGAGGCAUGAGUGGGGAAUAUUGCACAAUGGGCGCAAGCCUGAUGCAGCCAUGCCGCGUGUAUGAAGAAGUCCUUGGGGUUGUAAAGUACUUUCAUCGAGGAGGCGUUACUCGCAGAAGAAGCACCGGCUAACUCCGUGCCAGCCGCCGCGGUAAUAC